rnacentral:lncRNA from 1 species
CUGGGGAGUGCGGGAGGGUGGAGGUGGCCCGGAAAAGAACACCUCUUCGCAACCAAAAAAAAAAAAAAAAAAAAAAAAGAGGAAAUAGAGGAAAAAUGUGUUAUUUCAACCGCCACUCAGAACCCAUCAUAAUUCAGCCAGUCGGUGUCAUUUUUAUUGAAUUAAAUUUUAAAAAAGUUUUCUUUGAUUUCCAGAGCGUUUUUGCGGGAGGAAUAUGUUAAAACAAACUCAAGAUACGAAAUGAGACUUUUGAAGUGCCUUUGAUUUCUGGGACACCUCUGCUAAACUCCUAUUUUUACCGUGGUUAUUUAAAUAUGUGGUUAUUGAGGAAUUUGUAUUCUGCUAUCGUCAAGUGGCCUGAAAGCCAGGGAGAUCGAGAAGAUGAGUGUUCUUUGUGCUUUAAAAAGAAGCAGGCAAAAGCUGGAACGGGAAAGAGUAUCAGUGUUACAGUGAAGUGAAGUUACUAUGUUUUCUGAACUCCUGCAAGCAUUUUCAAGGAAAGGAAUGUUUGUUACAGGUGAUUGUCUAAUCAAGAUACAUUUGAAAUGUAUCCUUUACUGGAUAGCAACUGUAAACAAUAUUUAAAAAAUAUAUCUCAGAGUGACUUGCAGAGUAAAGAUAAUUUCAUAUGCUAAAAUUUCUAAAAGGAGAAAAACCUUUUUUAUUAACUUUAAUGUUCAUAUAAUCACAUUGAGUAAUGGCUAUUUUUUUCCUAGUGAACUUUUCAUUUUAGGUUGGGCAGGUAAUUUUAUACCUUUAAUUACAUGGGUCUUAAAAAUAUGAUCCUAUAGCCAUAACUGAAUAUUAUAAGCUUGGGUACUUUAUGUUUCAUCUUUCAUUAAGGAGUAUAUUUCUCAGAUCCUACCAGAUCCUACUUUUUUUUUUUUUUUUUUGAGACAGAGUCUCACUCUGUCACCUAGGCUGGAGUGCAGUGGUGCUAUCUUGGCUUACUGUAACCUCUGCCUCCCAGGUUCAAGCAGUUCUCCAGCCUCAGCCUCCUGUGUAGCUGGGACUACAGGUGUGCACUGCCACAUCCGGCUAAUUUUUUUUUUUUUUUUGGGAUGGAGACUCACUCUGUUGCCCAGGCCAGAGUACAGUGGUGUGAUCUCAGGUCACUGCAACCUCUGCCUCCCAGGUUCAAGCGAUUCUCCUGCAUCAGCCUCCUGAGUAGUUGGGACUACAGGUGCGUGCCACUACGCCUGGCUAAUUUUUUGUAUGUUUAGUAGAGAUGGGGUUUCACCGUGUUAGCCAGGAUGGUCUUGAUCUCCUGACCUCGUGAUCCGCCUGCCUCAGCCUCCCAAAGUGCUGGGAUUACAGGUGUGAGCCACCACACCCAGCCUAAUUUUUGUAUUUUUAGCAGAGACGGGGUUUCACCAUAUUGGCCAGGCUGGUCUUGAACUCCUGACCUCAGGUGAUCUGCUGGCCUUGGCCUCCCAAGGUGCUGGGAUUACAGGCAUGAGCCACUGUACCCGGCCCUCAGAUCUUAUUUUCUAUGGACACCCUACUUUGCUUCAGCCCUGAGGUCCCAGCUGCCCCAUUCAACAUUUUUACCUUCCUUUUCUGCAUUGUCCUAACCUUUAGGAAAUCUGAACCCCAGUAGUUGACUGUCUUCUGAACUAGGUGAACCUAAUAUCCCAAUCUCUCUGUUUCCCUAAAAAUGGGUUGGCAAUUCUAAAGUUCCUUUCAAACCUGGUUGGACAGAUAAUUAUAAGCCUUAAUGCAAUGACAAAUUUCAAGGUCCCUCCAGGCAGUGACUUUCAGCCUUCCCUCUACACAUGGAAAGGAAUGUGCCCAGUAUUACCUGAAAAUUCUUACUAGGUUUUGCCUCAAAACGUAAUAUUUGGAAUCUUUUUUUAUAAUUUUCCCACUACAGACUGGAGACAAUCCAUAUAUUACUAUUAAAAUUGAGUUGCGGCUGGGCACGGUGGCUCACGCCUGUAAUCCCAGCACUUUGGGAGGCUGAGGCAGGAGGCUAUUCAGUAUUACCUGGAAAUCAGAAUGCCAAUUACUCAAUAACCAUGUAUUUAAAUAGCCAUGAUGAAACAGGAAUUUAGCAGAGGUUACCUGGGAAAAAAACAAACCCAUUAAUUAUGUCUCUCAAAGUCCUUGUACCUUUUGUAACUUUUUUGUACCUCUUACCAAGAAAAAAAAAAUUGUAUCUCCCUACCUUUCCCUCCCCAUUUGGAAAAAGUACCCUAGAAUGCAAGAGACUGAACAUCAGGUUGUAACCUGGACUAUCUGUUGCAAACUGUCAUACUUUUUUUACGAACUUGAAACAUUUUAGAGAUAGGGUCUUGCUCUGUCGCCCUGGCUGGAGGGCAGUGGCACCAUCAUA